rnacentral:lncRNA from 1 species
GCCUCUCCCUCAUCCCUAUGAGGUGGAGGGACAUUACAAGGCCUAUAAAAGAUAGCCUCUCCCUCCCACAUUCUUCAACACUAGGAGGAGCACUCAAGAGGAGAGGACCUGAGCCCUAGGACUAUGCCUCAGGACUACCUGGCCUGAUGACUCCUUGCUGUCCCCAGUCCACCUGGCCGUGCUGCUGCUCCAGUUUCAACUGUUCUGCCUGAGGCUAUGGAACCCUGACCUGUUCAGCGGACGUGCCACCAGUCCCAGACCUGCUGUUUUCAACUCUCUAGAGAUAGCAGGAGCGGUAGAGAUACUCUGAAUGAUCGGCUAUGAAACGCCAACUGACAUUUACUCCUGAGGCGCUGACCUGUUGCACUGACGACAACCACUGUGAUUAUUAUUAUUUGACCCUGCUGAUCAUCCAUGAACAUUUGAACAUCUUGGCCAUGUUCUGUUAUAAGCUCCACCCGGCACAGCCAGAAGAGGACUGGCCACCCCUCAUAGCCUGUUUCCUCUCUAGGUUUCUUCCUAGGUUCUGGCCUUUCUAGGGAGUUUUUCCCAGCCACCAUGCUUCUACACCUGCAUUGCUUGCUGUUUGGGGUUUUAGGCUGGGUUUCUGUACAGCACUUUGAGAUAUCAGCUGAUGUAAGAAGGGCUUUAUAAAUACAUUUGAUUUGAUUUGAAUUUGAUAUUAUAUAUUAAAACAGAAUAUUAAAACAGUGGCUACACUAACUCUAACCCUAGCUGUUUUAGACCUAGAGUUACAUACUAAGGCUGGAAUUCUAUUUAAUCAAACACACAAUGCAACUAUAACAGCAUUGCUGAAAAAAAUACAAGGUUUACAGGGUCAAACUAAUUAAAACAAAAACUUCCAAUUAAAAGGAACAUGUCUGAUGCAUUUUGCCUUAAGCUACAAUAAUGACACAUUUUCCAUAAGAUGUCCUGAAAUUCAACUUUUUACAUUACUUUAAGUGAAAUGAUCAUGAGUCAUUAUUCUUUAUUUUGAAGCUAGAAAAAGUUAUCAUGACUGUGCAGACAGCAACUUCUUUUGUGUUGUAAAUCAAAUACAGUGCCAG